GACGAACGCUGGCGGCGUGCUUAACACAUGCAAGUCGAACGAUGAAGGAGGAGCUUGCUCCUCUGGAUUAGUGGCGAACGGGUGAGUAACACGUGAGCAAUCUGCCCUUGACUCUGGGAUAAGCGCUGGAAACGGCGUCUAAUACCGGAUACGACCCUCGGAGGCAUCUCCUGUGGGUGGAAAGAACUUCGGUCAAGGAUGAGCUCGCGGCCUAUCAGCUUGUUGGUGAGGUAAUGGCUCACCAAGGCGACGACGGGUAGCCGGCCUGAGAGGGUGACCGGCCACACUGGGACUGAGACACGGCCCAGACGCCUACGGGAGGCAGCAGUGGGGAAUAUUGCACAAUGGGCGCAAGCCUGAUGCAGCAACGCCGCGUGAGGGACGACGGCCUUCGGGUUGUAAACCUCUUUUAGCAGGGAAGAAGCGAGAGUGGCGGUACCUGCAGAAAAAGCACCGGCUAACUACGUGCCAGCCGCCGCCGUAAUAC
rnacentral:rRNA from 1 species